UACGGGGGGGGCAAGCGUUGUUCGGAAUUACUGGGCGUAAAGGGCGCGUAGGCGGUUUGCUAAGUUGGAUGUGAAAACUCUGGGCUUAACCCAGAGCCUGCAUUCAAAACUGACAGGCUAGAGUUCUGGAGGGGAUAGCGGAAUUCCUGGUGUAGCGGUGAAAUGCGUAGAUAUCAGGAGGAACACCGGUGGCGAAGGCGGCUAUCUGGACAGAAACUGACGCUGAGGCGCGAAAGCUAGGGGAGCAAACAGG
rnacentral:rRNA from 1 species